GACGAACGCUGGCGGCGUGCUUAACACAUGCAAGUCGAGCGGUAAGGCCCUUUCGGGGGUACGACGAGCGGCGAACGGGUGAGUAACACGUGGGUGACCUGCCCUCCAGCUCUGGGAUAAGCUUGGGAAACCGGGGUACGUAAUACUGGAUAUGACUCCAUGACGCAUGUUGUGGGGUGGAAAGCCUUGUGCGGCUGAGGAUGGGCCCGCGGCCUAUCAGCUUGUUGGUGGGGUGAUGGCCUACCAAGGCGACGACGGGUAGCCGGCCUGAGAGGGCGACCGGCCACACUGGGACUGAGACACGGCCCAGACUCCUACGGGAGGGCAGCAGUGGGGAAGUCUUGCGCAAUGGGCGAAAGCCUGACGCAGCGACGCCGCGUGAGGGAUGACGGCCUGGUGUAAC
rnacentral:rRNA from 1 species